rnacentral:rRNA from 1 species
CCUAGUAGCGGCGAGCGAGCGGGAAGAGCUCAAAUUUAUAAUCUGGCACCUUCGGUGUCCGAGUUGUAAUCUCUAGAAAUGUUUUCCGCGUUGGACCGCACACAAGUCUGUUGGAAUACAGCGGCAUAGUGGUGAGACCCCCGUAUAUGGUGCGGACGCCCAGCGCUUUGUGAUACAUUUUCGAAGAGUCGAGUUGUUUGGGAAUGCAGCUCAAAUUGGGUGGUAAAUUCCAUCUAAAGCUAAAUAUUGGCGAGAGACCGAUAGCGAACAAGUACCGUGAGGGAAAGAUGAAAAGCACUUUGGAAAGAGAGUUAACAGUACGUGAAAUUGUUGGAAGGGAAACGCUUGAAGUCAGACUUGCUUGCUGAGCAAUCGGUUUGCAGGCCAGCAUCAGUUUUCCGGGAUGGAUAAUGGUAGAGAGAAGGUAGCAGUUUCGGCUGUGUUAUAGCUCUCUGCUGGAUACAUCUUGGGGGACUGAGGAACGCAGUGUGCCUUUGGCGGGGGUUUCGACCUCUUCACACUUAGGAUGCUGGUGGAAUGGCUUUAAACGACCCGUCUUG